GAUGAAGAACGCAGCGAACUGCGAUAAGUAAUGUGAAUUGCAGAAUUCAGUGAAUCAUCGAGUCUUUGAACGCACAUUGCGCCCCCUGGCAUUCCGGGGGGCAUGCCUGUCCGAGCGUCAUUGCUGCCCUUCAAGCCCGGCUUGUGUGUUGGGUCGUCGUCCCCCCCGGGGGACGGGCCCGAAAGGCAGCGGCGGCCCCGCGUCCGGUCCUCGAGCGUAUGGGGCUUUGUCACCCGCUCGAUUAGGGCCGGCCGGGCGCCAGCCGGCGUCUCCAACCUUCUAUUUUACCAGGUUGACCUCGGAUCAGGUAGGGAUACCCGCUGAACUUAAGCAUAUCAAUAAGCGGAGGA
rnacentral:misc_RNA from 1 species